rnacentral:tRNA from 2 species
GCUCCCUUCGUCUAUCGGUUAGGACGUCAGAUUUUCAAUUUGAAAAGACGGGUUCGACUCCCGUAGGGAGCGCCA